rnacentral:rRNA from 1 species
AUUGAACGCUGGCGGCAGGCUUAACACGUGCAAGUCGAGCGGGGUGAUGGUGCUUGCACUAUCACUUAGCGGCGGACGAGUGAGUAAUGCUUAGGAAUCUGCCUAUUAGUGGGGGACAACAUCUCGAAAGGGAUGCUAAUACCGCAUACGUCCUACGGGAGAAAGCAGGGGAUCACUUGUGACCUUGCGCUAAUAGAUGAGCCUAAGUCGGAUUAGCUAGUUGGUGGGGUAAAGGCCUACCAAGGCGACGAUCUGUAGCGGGUCUGAGAGGAUGAUCCGCCACACUGGGACGGAGACACGGCCCAGACUCCUACGGGAGGCAGCAGUGGGGAAUAUUGGACAAUGGGGGGAACCCUGAUCCAGCCAUGCCGCGUGUGUGAAGAAGGCCUUAUGGUUGUAAAGCACUUUAAGCGAGGAGGAGGCUCUUUUGGUUAAUACCCAAGAUGAGUGGACGUUACUCGCAGAAUAAGCACCGGCUAACUCUGUGCCAGCAGCCGCCGUAA